GGAGUCCGAUUUAGCCAUGCUAGUUGUACGAGUUCAGACUCGUAGCAGAUAGCUCAGUAACACGUGGCCAAACUACCCUACAGAGCACGAUAACCUCGGGAAACUGAGGCUAAUAGUGCAUACGGCUCGAGACCUGGAAUGGUUCGAGCUCGAAACGCUCCGGCGCUGUAGGAUGUGGCUGCGGCCGAUUAGGUAGACGGUGGGGUAACGGCCCACCGUGCCAGUAAUCGGUACGGGUUGUGAGAGCAAGAGCCCGGAGACGGUAUCUGAGACAAGAUACCGGGCCCUACGGGGCGCAGCAGGCGCGAAACCUUUACACUGCACGACAGUGCGAUAAGGGGACUCCGAGUGCGAGGGCAUAUAGUCCUCGCUUUUCACCACCGUAAGGUGGUGGUGGAAUAAGUGCUGGGCAAGACCGGUGCCAGCCGCCGCGGUAAUACCGGCAGCACGAGUGAUGACCGCUAUUAUUGGGCCUAAAGCGUCCGUAGCUGGCCAGUCAAGUCCAUCGGGAAAUCUCUCCGCCCAACGGGGAGGCGUCCGGUGGAAACUGUCUGGCUUGGGACCGGAAGACCUGAGGGGUACGUCCGGGGUAGGAGUGAAAUCCCGUAAUCCUGGACGGACCACCGGUGGCGAAAGCGCCUCAGAGGACGGAUCCGACGGUGAGGGACGAAAGCUCGGGUCACGAACCGGAUUAGAUACCCGGGUAGUCCGAGCUGUAAACGAUGUCUGCUAGGUGUGCCACAGGCUACGAGCCUGUGGUGUGCCGUAGGGAAGCCGUGAAGCAGACCGCCUGGGAAGUACGUCCGCAAGGAUGAAACUUAAAGGAAUUGGCGGGGGAGCAC
rnacentral:rRNA from 1 species